rnacentral:rRNA from 1 species
UACGAAGGGGCUAGCGUUGUUCGGAAUUAUUGGGCGUAAAGGGCGCGUAGGCGGUGCGGUAAGUCUUUUGUGAAAUCUCCGGGCUCAACUCGGAGUCUGCAGGAGAAACUGCCGUGCUUGAGUAUGGGAGAGGUGAGUGGAAUUCCUGGUGUAGCGGUGAAAUGCGUAGAUAUCAGGAGGAACACCUGUGGCGAAAGCGGCUCACUGGACCAUUACUGACGCUGAUGCGCGAAAGCUAGGGGAGCAAACAGG